CCUACGGGAGGCAGCAGUGGGGAAUAUUGGACAAUGGGGGCAACCCUGAUCCAGCCAUGCCGCGUGUGUGAAGAAGGCUUUCGGGUUGUAAAGCACUUUCAGUGAGGAGGAAAAGUUAGUCGUUAAUACCGGCUAGCCUUGACGUUACUCACAGAAGAAGCACCGGCUAACUCCGUGCCAGCAGCCGCGGUAAU
rnacentral:rRNA from 1 species